rnacentral:lncRNA from 1 species
AAAUAAGAAUCAAAUAUCUCGUUAGUUGAAACAGCUAACAUUUCAAAAAUAAUCAUUGCAUCAGUGAAACAAAUUAAUAAAACGUGUUAAUCAAUUUGACGUAACAAAAUAACUGGCUUUAUAAUUAACCAGUUAUACCUAUAUUGCAUUAUUGAAGUGCAAGACAAAUUAAAGAUAAGAAGAUGUGGUAUGAUAGUCAAUGAGUCAACUAUGAACCAAAAAACAAAUUGAGUAAAUGUAAGCAUCUAGAGGUCACUGUAUGGCCUUAAAAAUGGGCAAAACCCAUAUUGUAUAGUAAACAUGAACAACAGUCUUACCCAAAAGGAUAUUUCCCUGAACAAUUGUUCGCCUCUAAUUCUCUAUAGUUUUUAGAUGGAUUUCUUUAAUAAUACUUUUUAAUUUACUUUUCUGGGAUUUCAUUAUAUAUUUGACAUUCAAGUAUGAAAUGGUAUUCAUCUUCAAUAGCGUUAGUGUUACACUUAGUACAUAGUCUAUUAUUUUAUCAACAUUAUAACAUCUGCUUGUUUCUAUACUUGAAUUAUGAGCUGAUAUAUGAUAUAUUUACAAAUAUAUAGUGUGUAUGUAUAUAUAGUUUACAGGUCUAUCUAAAUAAAAUU